UACGUAGGGCGCGAGCGUUGUCCGGAAUUAUUGGGCGUAAAGAGCUCGUAGGCGGCCUGUCGCGUCGGUUGUGAAAGCCCCGGGGGCUCAACCCCCGGGUCUGCAGUCGAUACGGGCAGGCUAGAGUUCGGUAGGGGGAGACUGGAAUUCCUGGUGUAGCGGUGAAAUGCGCAGAUAUCUGGAAGAACACCGGUGGCGCAAGCGGCUUGCUGGGCUGUAACUGACACUGAGGAACGAAAGCUAGGGUAGCGAAUGGG
rnacentral:rRNA from 1 species